AAAAAACCCAAAACAAAUAACGUCAUCAGAUGCGGUGGAGAUCAGCCUCUUUCCUUAUCGACGGACAACAAGACGACACCUCACAGCGCAGCCCGGAAAUUCUCUCUCCCUCUCCUCCGUCUCUUUCCUCCAUGGCCAACGCUCUGCAAAACCUUAACUCUAAGAAUAUUAAUAAUUACAUUUCCGCUUAUUAACAGACUCGUGCAGCCCACCAUGGCGUCGUCACUAGCGACUGGCUCGCCUCCCAGGCGCAGGUCGCUGUCGCGGUUGGCCGCCAUUCUGAUGAUUUAUUGCCGUCGGAACCUGAACUCAGAGUCGCUGGAAAGCCGUUUAGUGUGAUCGAUGAGUUUAAUAACUGGAGGAAGCAACCGAACUUAGCGGAGGCUGUUGCGGCGAUUAGAGCUCUUACGGCUAUGAUUAGGAAUAGUGAGGCGACGACGACGACGGGGCUUGAAAUCGAGCUCUGGGAGGCGUCGGAUUCGCUCAAGGUGAGUUUUCUCUCCUUUUUCUCUUUUUCCCCCUUCUUUUUUGAUAGUUUUUAAUUGUCUGGUCAUGUUAAUGAUUAAUGUGUGUUGUGUUAAAAUUUGGAAUGCAAUGCGGCAAUUAGAGCUGAAAUUGGAUUAUUUAUCUAUUUUGACUGAUUAGAAUUGAAAAUUAUGAAUAUUGGUUUUGGAAGGAAUCGAAUCUGUGGAUUAAUGAAAAUGUUACAUGGGGAUGCUUAUGUUCCAUGAUCAUAAGUGUGCCAUUUUUGAAGCCGGAGUUUCUUCAGCAAUUUCUUGGAGGUUUCAGCAAAUGUUGCUUUCUUUUAUUAGUGUUGCCUCUUUUUGGUAGUUACUUGCAUUUUAGAAAAGUAUGUGUUAUCCAGUCUUGGGACACAACUUCUAUCUCUUUGACAGCGGGCUGUGAUGUUUAUGUGUUAUGUAACCAAAACUUCGGCCUUGAAAUACGAGGACUUCAAUUCUGCUAAAUCUCGCUUGAUUGACUGUGCAGAGAAGUUUGGAGGGAUAUCUUAUAAGGCACGCAGAACCAUUGCAAUGCUUAGUCAAGAUUUUAUUUUUGAUGGCUGCGCAAUUUUGGUGCAUGGUUUCUCCAGACUUGUGAUGGGAGUCCUGAAGACAGCAACUCUGAAUAAGAAACUCUUUCAAGUUUUCUGCACAGGCAGAGGGAAGGCCUGACAGGACAGGAUUAAUGUUGUCCAAUAACUGGCCAAGCUUGAUGCUCCUGUGGAACUGCUAACGGACUCUGCUGCAGCAUAUUCUAUGGAUGAAUUGAUGUUGGACAUACGAGAUUGCACUUAACCACUACUUACAGUCAGCACAAGGUUUUGGAUAAUUAAUGUAUAAUUAGAACUCCAGCAUAGGAGUUUAGCGUUCAGUUCAUUGAUCUGUUUUGUCAAUUUAAGAAUAUCUGCUUUGCAGUUUGCUCAUCUUUAUCUUUUAGACCAAAAAGACAUGGCACCUGCCUUACGGCCUAUUGAUUGGGGUGCCCAUCCCAUUGAAGGUGGAGGUUGGAACAUCCGCCAUUGAUUAUACUUCUCAAUACCUGACAUUGCUCUUUACUGAUCUUGGUUUGCCCACCCCAACUGUAGUCAGCGAUGAAUUGAUUCAGCUAUACUUGUGGUCAUGUUUGAAUUCUUCUUCAUCGUACUAGAUUUAGACAUGAUGCAAAUAUGUAUGCAUUGUAUUCCUUGACAAUUUUGAAUCCAAUGCAUAAACUUUUGUGUUAAAUGUAGUGGGGUCAAAUUGCAUCAUAUGCAACCUUGUGCUUAUGUUUUUUUAUGGUAAGGUAGUUAAUUUCUUCUAUUGUGCAAUUAUAGAAGAAAAAUGCCAAACUAUAUCGAUGUCAUGUCGUUUUCUUG
rnacentral:misc_RNA from 1 species